GAUGAAGAACGCAGCGGAAUGCGAUAAGUAAUGUGAAUUGCAGAAUUCAGUGAAUCAUCGAAUCUUUGAACGCACAUUGCGCCCGCCAGUAUUCUGGCGGGCAUGCCUGUUCGAGCGUCAUUACAACCCUCAGGCCCCCGGGCCUGGCGUUGGGGAUCGGCGGAAGCCCCCUGCGGGCACAACGCCGUCCCCCAAAUACAGUGGCGGUCCCGCCGCAGCUUCCAUUGCGUAGUAGCUAACACCUCGCAACUGGAGAGCGGCGCGGCCACGCCGUAAAACACCCAACUUCUGAAUGUUGACCUCGAAUCAGGUAGGAGUACCCGCUGAACUUAAGCAUAUCAAUAGCGGAUGA
rnacentral:misc_RNA from 1 species